UGUGGAAAAAUACAAUAUCUUGAUCCUUGCAAAAAUGUCUUUUUUAAUUACAUAAAAUAAUUUAAAAUGCUGCCUCACCAGAAAUCUUCAUCAGUAACAUUAGAGUGAAGUAAGAACAAAAAAAAAAGGAGGAUUGAAAAAUUGUUUUCUUAGCAAAGUGAACCUCCUUCGUUUCCUGUUGCAAUUAAAGGAUAAAUUUCAUUAUCCAGAGCAUGUUAUAUUAUAAAGGGUUAGGAGGGCAGGACAGAAGAAGAAAGGAAGGAAAAAAUAAAUGAUUAAUCUAAUAUAGUUGAUUUUACAAUUUGUAACCACUGCUACCAAGUGAAAUAUUUCAAAAUAACCUCAGGCUUAACAGCUCCCUGCAGUUCCUUUCUUUUUUGUCGCAUUUUGUAGGGAUGGUAAGAGAGGCAACAGCACCUGUCACUAGAACUCUAAACAAAUAAUGUGCCUUCCCUUUGCAUGGACCACUGGAAGAAAAUUGCUGCCUGCCACUCCUAUUACUUCUAGCUUGACAUAAAUUAUAAGCCACUUACAUAGAUGUAAAAGGAUAGAUUUUUUUCUUUGAAUGGAAACUUACCUGCUGAAUACUCUGGAGAUUUGAUUAAUGUCUCUUCCCCAUUUUGUAUGAGCGCUAGGAAACUAAAUAUGGUCAGUACUCAGGGACUGCAUCUGUAUAGUGGACAAUAAUGAGCCAUGGCUGGAAAGAAGAGUGAGACAACGAAAGGUUUCAAAUUGCUAAUGGCAUAAUUAAAAUGUGCUAUACAGAACCGGAGGCUGAGUCUGAACAGGAACUUCUCCCAUCUUCAGUCACAAUGAGGACAGAACAAGCUACAAUACAGAGAAAUUUUUAGCAUAGAACACUAAGUAUAGCACUGCAUCUGUGGUUGUGGAGUCUGUCUCCUACCCCAGGAGGAAAGUUGAGGAGUUUCUUCCUAUACUGUGCACAACUACAUAGAUGCGUCAGUUUCCAUGCAGAAGCUGGGCAUGACAGAAGAGGAGACACAGCACAGGAAAAGAGAGCUUUGAGAACCAGAUUCCUGUUUGGAAAUUUCCACUUCCUGCACGCUGAGGAAGAAUACUGAGGCAAGACGGGGCUCACGGGUCACAAGGAUGCAACCAGCGCGCUUGCUCAUUACCUCCCCAGCCUCAUUUCAUUUGGAUGCAACAGCAGGCAAAGGAGGAACAUCUCUUCUGUUCAGUAUUUCUUAAGCCUGAUUAAACACUUC
rnacentral:lncRNA from 1 species